rnacentral:rRNA from 1 species
GAUGAACGCUGGCGGCGUGCCUAAUACAUGCAAGUCGAGCGAACAGACGAGGAGCUUGCUCCUCUGACGUUAGCGGCGGACGGGUGAGUAACACGUGGAUAACCUACCUAUAAGACUGGGAUAACUUCGGGAAACCGGAGCUAAUACCGGAUAAUAUAUUGAGCCGCAUGGUUCAAUAGUGAAAGACGGUUUUGCUGUCACUUAUAGAUGGAUCCGCGCCGCAUUAGCUAGUUGGUAAGGUAACGGCUUACCAAGGCGACGAUGCGUAGCCGACCUGAGAGGGUGAUCGGCCACACUGGAACUGAGGCACGGUCCAGACUCCUACGGGAGGCAGCAGUAGGGAAUCUUCCGCAAUGGGCGAAAGCCUGACGGAGCAACGCCGCGUGAGUGAUGAAGGUCUUCGGAUCGUAAAACUCUGUUAUUAGGGAAGAACAAAUGUGUAAGUAACUAUGCACGUCUUGACGGUACCUAAUCAGAAAGCCACGGCUAACUACGUG